rnacentral:lncRNA from 1 species
AAUUUAGUAUUGAUUCCAGACAUAUUUAGAUUUUUAGUAUUAUUCUCCCCUGCCUUUCUAAUUUAAGUAGACAAAUUAAGCAAAAGUGUGUAUUCACAACCAAAUGUUGAUGUGCUUAUCCACAAUAAUAUCCUCUCAAUGUUCGCUGAGGCAUAGAAAUUGUUUCAGAGUAGAAAUUGCAGCGUGAGUAGAAACUCACCUCAUUGUCCUGGAAACAGAACUUGAUCAUUUUGCUUUUAGAUGAUUCUUUUUCUUUCACCACCAUAAAAUCUUGUGCCUCCCAGUGCAUUGGAAAAUGACAAAAGCCUGUCUCUCAAAAUGCCUAUUUAACAGGUUUUUUAAAAUCACCAUCUUUCCAAUCUUCAUUCAACUCUCACCACAUAAAAAUUGGCGACUUGGGAGAAAGUUCACUUUCUCUGGUGGGAGGGUGAAGGACUAGGGACAGUUUACAAAGGGAAACAAAGUCUAAAGUCCAUGUUGAAGUACCACAUUUCCACUUAUUUUCUGCUAACCCCAAAUAUUUUUGCAUCUACACUUGAGGUUAUAGUCUGUGCCUAGACCUAAAUGCACCAGCGGGGGGAUUUUUAAAAAUCCUUCAAAAUCCCACUCUUUUCCCACAAGUACAAUUGUUCUUGUGCCUUCUGUGGCUUUCGAUUUCAUCUUUUGACUUUAUUUCCAAUUACUACAGCUGCAAUAAACACUAGAUUUUUUUUCUGGCUGUUUGACAUGACGUUGAUAGCUAUGCAUAUUUUGUGUCUUUUUAAAAACAAAGCGGGAGAAUACGUUUUUGAGAAGAGAAUUUUUAGAACAGUUUGAUACCGCAAAUUAUUUUUUCCUCAAUUGUUUGAGCAGCAUUCGAGUUUUGAAAAUUCUUGUAGAAGCCAAUUUUUUGUAACUGUGGUGCAAAUCUUGUGUUUUCUUAGCCUAACGAAAAGUAGUAUAGAAGCAAUAUUUCAUACCAUGUGCUAUGUAUGUGUGUGCAGAUGUGUGAACAUAAACACAUACACACAUAUACACAC